GUCUAGAUCGCAUUUGUUUGUCACCGGUGCCAUUAGGCAUGAAGUAAGGGAAACCAUGAUUGACAUACAAUUAAAUAAGAGCAACUGUAGUUGGCUCAGAAUUUACGCUAACAAAACAAUUCUAUGUAAACCAAUUACUCGAUUAUAAGCAAAAUGAACCAUUUAUGGGGAUACAGAAACAUAUGGAAUUGAAAAAUUGAAGGGAAA
rnacentral:misc_RNA from 1 species